CCUACGGGAGGCAGCAGUGAGGAAUAUUGGUCAAUGGCCGGAAGUCUGAACCAGCCAUGCCGCGUGAAGGUCAGUGCCCUAUGGGCGUUAAACUUCUUUUGUGCGGGAGCAAUAAUGGUCACGUGUGGCCAGACGAGAGUACCGUACGAAUAAGCAUCGGCUAACUCCGUGCCAGGAGCCGCGGUAAUACGGGGGGUGUAAGCGUUACCCGGAUUUCUUGGGAUUAAAGGGGUCGUAGGCUGUGACGUCAGUCAGUGGUGGAAUGCCCGCGCUAAACGGGGUGAAGUGCCAUUGAUACUGUCUUGCGUGAAUGCGGAUGCCGUGGGAGGAAUGUGUGGUGUAGCGGUGAAAUGCAUAGAGAUCACACAGAACACCGAGUGCGAAGGCAUCUCACGAAUCCGCGAUUGACGCUGAUGCACGAAAGCGUGGGUAUCAAACAGGAUUAGAUACCCUAGUAGUC
rnacentral:rRNA from 1 species